rnacentral:rRNA from 1 species
UACGUAGGCAGCGAGCGUUGUUCGGAAGUUACUGGGCGUAAAGAGUGCUGUAGGCGGUGUUCAAGUCUGUUGUGAAAUCUCCCGGCUUAACUGGGAGGGUGCGGCGGAAACUGGAAUGCUAGAGGAUGGGAGAGGUAAGGCGGAAUUCCUGGUGUAGCGGUGAAAUGCGUAGAUAUCAGGAGGAACACCUGUGGUGUAGACAGCUUACUGGACCAUUCUGACGCUGAGACACGAAAGCGUGGGUAGCAAACAGG